rnacentral:rRNA from 1 species
GACAGAGGGUGCAAACGUUGCUCGGAAUUACUGGGCGUAAAGCGCGUGUAGGCGGGCUGAUAAGUCGGACGUGAAAUCCCUGGGCUCAACCCAGGAACUGCAUCCGAAACUGUCAGUCUGGAGUGGUGGAGAGGGAAGCAGAAUUCCUGGUGUAGAGGUGAAAUUCGUAGAUAUCAGGAGGAACACCGGUGGCGAAGGCGGCUUCCUGGACACUAACUGACGCUGAGACCCGAAAGCGUGGGGAGCAAACAGG